UAUACAUUGAAUAGAUAUCAAUUCAUUUGUAAAAUUAAAAGAUAAAAACAUAUGGCUAAAAUUCUCAAACUUCAUUAUGUUAUAGUUUUGUUUCUGUCCCUACUCUUUCUCUCAGCGAAGGCUAUUUUUCCAUGUGAAACUAAUGAAGAUUGUGCACAUGUGUUAGUUAGCGUGAAUAAGUUACAUAUGCAAAUCCACUGCCUUGAAAACGUAUGUUGUUUGCUUAUGCAAAUGUAAGGAAGAAAUAUCGACAUUUAUGAUUGCCAUUUAAGAUUUAUGCUUCCAACCAAGAAAAAAAAAUAUAUGUUAUGGUAGAAUAUUUCAUAAGUUGCCAUUCAAGAUUUAUGCUUCCAACUAAGAAUUGAAUUUUUAUAUA